GACGAACGCUGGCGGCGUGCUUAACACAUGCAAGUCGAACGGAAAGGCCCUGCUUUUGUGGGGUGCCCGAGUGGCGAACGGGUGAGUAACACGUGAGUAACCUGCCCUUGACUUUGGGAUAACUUCAGGAAACUGGGGCUAAUACCGGAUAGGAGCUCCUGCUGCAUGGUGGGGGUUGGAAAGUUUCGGCGGUUGGGGAUGGACUCGCGGCUUAUCAGCUUGUUGGUGGGGUAGUGGCUUACCAAGGCUUUGACGGGUAGCCGGCCUGAGAGGGUGACCGGCCACAUUGGGACUGAGAUACGGCCCAGACUCCUACGGGAGGCAGCAGUGGGGAAUAUUGCACAAUGGGCGGAAGCCUGAUGCAGCAACGCCGCGUGCGGGAUGACGGCCUUCGGGUUGUAAACCGCUUUCGCCUGUGACGAAGCGUGAGUGACGGUAAUGGGUAAAGAAGCACCGGCUAACUACGUGCCAGCAGCCGCGGUGAUACGUAGGGUGCGAGCGUUGUCCGGAUUUAUUGGGCGUAAAAGGGCUCGUAGGUGGUUGAUCGCGUCGGAAGUGUAAUCUUGGGGCUUAACCCUGAGCGUGCUUUCGAUACGGGUUGACUUGAGGAAGGUAGGGGAGAAUGGAAUUCCUGGUGGAGCGGUGGAAUGCGCAGAUAUCAGGAGGAACACCAGUGGCGAAGGCGGUUCUCUGGGCCUUUCCUGACGCUGAGGAGCGAAAGCGUGGGGAGCGAACAGGCUUAGAUACCCUGGUAGUCCACGCUGUAAACGGUGGGUACUAGGUGUGGGGUCCAUUCCACGGGUUCCGUGCCGUAGCUAACGCUUUAAGUACCCCGCCUGGGGAGUACGGCCGCAAGGCUAAAACUCAAAGGAAUUGACGGGGCCCCGCACAAGCGGCGGAGCAUGCGGAUUAAUUCGAUGCAACGCGUAGAACCUUACCUGGGUUUGACAUGGAUCGGGAGUGCUCAGAGAUGGGUGUGCCUCUUUUGGGGUCGGUUCACAGGUGGUGCAUGGCUGUCGUCAGCUCGUGUCGUGAGAUGUUGGGUUAAGUCCCGCAACGAGCGCAACCCUUGUUCACUGUUGCCAGCACGUUAUGGUGGGGACUCAGUGGAGACCGCCGGGGUCAACUCGGAGGAAGGUGGGGAUGACGUCAAGUCAUCAUGCCCCUUAUGUCCAGGGCUUCACGCAUGCUACAAUGGCUGGUACAGAGAGUGGCGAGCCUGUGAGGGUGAGCGAAUCUCGGAAAGCCGGUCUCAGUUCGGAUUGGGGUCUGCAACUCGACCUCAUGAAGUCGGAGUCGCUAGUAAUCGCAGAUCAGCAACGCUGCGGUGAAUACGUUCCCGGG
rnacentral:rRNA from 1 species